UCUCCCGCCGGCGGUUUUCAGAGCAGAGUAGGAGUUUUCCUUUGAGAGCUGGAGAAAGGAGAACGUAUGAAUGACCCCCUCGCAGGAAUUGAGCCCGGGAAAUCCCGGGGACGCGCCGGGUGUUCUCCGCUCCCGGUGGAGUGUGGGCCGCCCUUGGAUCCUGGCGCCCGGGAUCCGACGCUGGCGGGGACCGACAGGGACCUAGCAGCAGCAGGUGGGGAUGUGAGAUCGCGGACGGGAGAGAAUUUGGAUUGCCAGUCCUGGGUCAGAGAGAAAGUGCUCUUUCUUCUGCACCCCGAGAGGUGGCUGGGAACACAAACGGACCCUGCUUGCGCAGAGCUGGCGGGCAGCGAGGACCUGCCCCCGAGGAUUGGAGACCGCCGCCAUUCGGAACCGGAACCGAGGCUUUCCCGAAGGCGCAUUGCCACGAUUCCCGGAGCCCAGCGCCGGGACCCCGCAGCCACACCCAGGUCCGUGUUGGUGCGGGUCGUGGAUUACCAGGAGACGCAGGAGGUGCAGCGGACUGCGUGGACCAAGGGUCAUAUGACCACGAGGACUGAGGAGCGCUCUGUGACCGCAGUCACCUUUCGCACCCAGAGUGAGUGACACAGUUUGUGGAGCACCGGGGCCCCAGCAGAACCUGAAUGCAUCGCGCAUUGCUAUUCCUCACCAAGGACCGGAAUCCCGGGGGGAGAUGAAACACAGAUUCCUUGAACCUGAAAAAUGUUUCAUGCUGUGUUUCGAGAAAAUGCUCUAAGAACCCACUCUCAGCAAACUUAGAUUUCCUCGGUGGCGUCAGUGUCUCCCAGUGGUUUAAGAGAACAAAAGGUGAAGAACACUUAUCAUUUCACAAAUGUCCCAGGAAGAGCAUCCAAACUUGUCCUCAGUGCUAAGGAAUCUCUCAGAUGACCAGGUCUCGGCUCUUUGGCUUAACUUCUACCUCACAGCAAAACGAGUUCAUCUGAAAUUGUCUUUGUUAGAUGAAUUGCAUCCAAGACUCCCAGAGGCUCAUUGGAGCGCAUUAUGACUGGGACAAAUGUCAAAGUCAAAUAGCCCCCAUGGAUCAGGCCAGUGUCUACCUCUUUUUUUAUUAUUAAUAUGUAUUUUUAAUUUUUUUGAGACAUUGUCUCCUUGCGUAACCCAGGCUUACUUUGGACUUGGUGUCUAGCCUGUGAUGAUUGACCCUGAGAUUUUUCUCAGCCUCCCACACGCUGGGAUGACAGUGUGUCCCGGAAUGUUUGACCUCCACCUCUCUUUAACCCCCUUUUCCACACCUGUUAUUAUCUGUGAUAGUCAUUAUAUUUGAGUUGCUGCUGUUGUAUUGAGGAGCCUUAUGAGUUCUUGCUAUUAAAACUCACUGUGACUCUUUUUUCUUCCUAA